ACAUGCAAGUCGAACGCUUGCUUUCCUCCCGAGUGCUUGCACUCAAUUGGAAAGAGGAGUGGCGGACGGGUGAGUAACACGUGGGUAACCUACCCAUCAGAGGGGGAUAACACUUGGAAACAGGUGCUAAUACCGCAUAACAGUUUAUGCCGCAUGGCAUAAGAGUGAAAGGCGCUUUCGGGUGUCGCUGAUGGAUGGACCCGCGGUGCAUUAGCUAGUUGGUGAGGUAACGGCUCACCAAGGCCACGAUGCAUAGCCGACCUGAGAGGGUGAUCGGCCACACUGGGACUGAGACACGGCCCAGACUCCUACGGGAGGCAGCAGUAGGGAAUCUUCGGCAAUGGACGAAAGUCUGACCGAGCAACGCCGCGUGAGUGAAGAAGGUUUUC
rnacentral:rRNA from 1 species